CACCAGACUCCUACGGGAGGCAGCAGUGGGGAAUAUUGCACAAUGGGGGGAACCCUGAUGCAGCGACGCCGCGUGAGUGAAGAAGUAUUUCGGUAUGUAAAGCUCUAUCAGCAGGGAAGAAAAUGACGGUACCUGACUAAGAAGCCCCGGCUAACUACGUGCCAGCAGCCGCGGUAAUACGUAGGGGGCAAGCGUUAUCCGGAUUUACUGGGUGUAAAGGGAGCGUAGACGGCGAUGCAAGUCAGAUGUGAAAACUGAGGGCUCAACUUUCAGACUGCAUUUGAAACUGCUGUUCUUGAGUGAAGUAGAGGUAAGCGGAAUUCCUAGUGUAGCGGUGAAAUGCGUAGAUAUUAGGAGGAACAUCGGUGGCGAAGGCGGCUUACUGGGCUUUUACUGACGCUGAGGCUCGAAAGCGUGGGGAGCAAACAGGAUUAGAUACCCCAGUAG
rnacentral:rRNA from 1 species